UGGGGAAUAUUGGACAAUGGGCGAAAGCCUGAUCCAGCAACGCCGCGUGAGCGAUGAAGGCCUUCGGGUUGUAAAGCUCUGUUAAGAGGAACGAAAAACAGUAACCUAAUACGUUGCUGCUUGACGGUACUUCUAGAGGAAGCACCGGCUAACUCUGUGCCAGCAGCCGCGGUAAUACAGAGGGUGCAAGCGUUGUUCGGAAUCACUGGGCGUAAAGGGCGCGUAGGCGGUAUAGUGUGUCUGAUGUGAAAGACCUUGGCUUAACCAGGGAAAUGCAUUGGAAACUGCUGUGCUAGAGUAUGAGAGGGGAUGGUGGAAUUCCCGGUGUAGAGGUGAAAUUCGUAGAUACCGGGAGGAACAGUCUGGGGCGAAGGCGGCCAUCUGGCUCAUUACUGACGCUGAGGCGCGAAAGCGUGGGUAGCAAACAGGAUUAGAUACCCCCGUAGUCCCUGAGCGGGCUGGCAAGGCGCAU
rnacentral:rRNA from 1 species